rnacentral:rRNA from 1 species
UACAGAGGUCUCAAGCGUUGUUCGGAUUCAUUGGGCGUAAAGGGUGCGUAGGCGGCGCGGUAAGUCGGGUGUGAAAUCUUGGAGCUUAACUCCGAAACUGCAUUCGAUACUGCCGUGCUUGAGGACUGGAGAGGAGACUGGAAUUUACGGUGUAGCGGUGAAAUGCGUAGAUAUCGUAAGGAAGACCAGUGGCGAAGGCGGGUCUCUGGGCCGAUACUGACGCUGAGGUGCGAAAGCGUGGGGAGCAAACAGG